rnacentral:rRNA from 1 species
AGGGAAGCGAAUGGAACCAGUCUUCUUGGUGAGAUUGUUGCACGCUAUGGUGAUUGCUUGCUGCUUCAACGCAAGUGUUGCAGUGGGUUUUGAUCCUGACGUGUGCUUUGUUUCUUACCUCGUGUGUCAACGUCGGUUCGGAAUUGAGGAAAACUCUAGGGACAUGGUAACUCGCCUGCGGGUGAGCCAAUGUGCCUGGUAGAACUCAUUUCUUAACUGAUUUCUGCAUGUCUGGUCGCAGUGUUUCAUUACCUGUGUUCUGGUAUUGCGCUUGUGGCUCUUCUGCUGCUUGUUGCGUUGCUGGGCCUGGUCGUGGAGCAUCUCCCUGACAUUAGUACGAUGACAAAAUGGUUUCAUUCGACCCGUCUUGAAACACGGACCAAGGAGUCUAACAUAUGUGCAAGUUCAUGGGUGUUAAACCUAAUUGCGCAAUGAAAGUGACUGCUGGGAUAUUUGCACCAGCAACCGACCAAUCAAUUGUGAGAGGUUUGAGUAUGAGCAUAUCUGUUAGGACCCGAAAGAUGGUGAACUAUGCGUGAGAAGGGUGAAGUCAGGGGAAACUCUGAUGGAGGCUCGUAGCGAUACUGACGUGCAAAUCGUUCGUCAUACUUGCGUAUAGGGGCGAAAGACUAAUCGAACCAUCUAGUAGCUGGUUCCCUCCGAAGUUUCCCUCAGGAUAGCUGGAGUUGAACAGUUUUAUCAGGUAAAGCGAAUGAUUAGAGGAAUCGGGGACGCGUUGUCCUCGACCUAUUCUCAAACUUUAAAUGGGUAAGAUCCAGUGGUUACUUGGGUGAACUUCUGGGAUAAAUGACAACUCUAAGUGGGCCAUUUUUGGUAAGCAGAACUGGCGAUGAGGGAUGAACCUAACGUUGGGUUAAGGUGCUUAACUGCUCGCUCAUCAGAUACCAUAAAGGGUGUUGGUUCAUUUAACAGCAGGACGGUGUCAUGAAGCGAAUGCCCAAAGGU